rnacentral:tRNA from 1 species
GUAGUCCACCGGUUAGGAUAAUUGCCUUCCAAGCUAUAGACCCGGGUUCGACUCCCGAC